CCUACGGGUGGCAGCCGUGGGGAAUAUUGGGCAAUGGAGGCAACUCUUACCCAGCAAUGCCGCGUGAAUGAAGAAGGUAUUCGGAUUGUAAAGUUCUUUAAUUGGGGACGAAAAAAAUGACGGUACCCAAGGAAUAAGCCACGGCUAACUACGUGCCAGCAGCGGCGGUAAUACGUAGGGGGGAAGCGUUGUUCGGUAUGACUGGGCGUAAAGGGGGUGUAGGGGGGGGAGCAAGUGAGACGGGAAAUACCCAGAGCUUAACUCGGGUGCUGCUCCUAAAACUGCUAUACUUGAGUGCAGUAGAGGAAAGGGGAAUUCCUAGUGUAGCGGUGGAAUGCGUAGAUAUUAGGAGGAACAUCAGUGGCGAAGGCGACUUGCUGGACUGUAACUGACGCUGAGGCACGAAAGUGUGGGGAGCAAACAGGAGUAGAUACCCCAGUAGUC
rnacentral:rRNA from 1 species